rnacentral:rRNA from 1 species
GUCGAACGCUGAUAUUCAGGUAGCAAUAUUUGGAUGUCGGAGUGGCGCAAGGGUGCGUAACACGUGGGUAAUUUGCCGUAAAGUCUGGGACAACUUGCUGAAAGGCGAGCUAAUACCGGAUGUGAAUUUUCGAGGGCAUCUUUGGAAAUUCAAAGUUGGGGACCGCAAGGCCUGACGCUUUACGAUAAGCCCGCGGCCUAUCAGCUAGUUGGUGAGGUAACGGCUCACCAAGGCUAAGACGGGUAGCUGGUCUGAGAGGACGACCAGUCACACUGGAACUGAGACACGGUCCAGACACCUACGGGUGGCAGCAGUCGAGAAUUUUUCUCAAUGGGCGAAAGCCUGAAGGAGCGACGCCGCGUGGGGGAUGAAUGGCUUCGGCCCGUAAACCCCUGUCAUUUGUGAACAAAUUGCUUCACCUAACACGUGAAGCAUUGAUUGUAACGGAAGAGGAAGGGACGGCUAACUCUGUGCCAGCAGCCGCGGUAAUACAGAGGUCCCAAGCGUUGUUCGGAUUCACUGGGCGUAAAGGGUGCGUAGGCGGUUUGACAAGUCUGAUGUGAAAUCCCGCAGCUUAACUGCGGAACUGCAUUGGAAACUGUUUGACUAGAGGAAUGGAGGGGAGACUGGAAUACUUGGUGUAGCAGUGAAAUGCGUAGAUAUCAAGUGGAACACCAGUGGCGAAGGCGAGUCUCUGGACAUUUCCUGACGCUGAGGCACGAAAGCCA